rnacentral:rRNA from 1 species
GACGAACGCUGGCGGCGUGCCUAAUACAUGCAAGUAGAACGCUGAAGCUUGGUGCUUGCACCGAGCGGAUGAGUUGCGAACGGGUGAGUAACGCGUAGGUAACCUGCCUGGUAGCGGGGGAUAACUAUUGGAAACGAUAGCUAAUACCGCAUAACAGUAGAUAUCGCAUGAUAGCUUCUUGAAAGGUGCAAAUGCACCACUACCAGAUGGACCUGCGUUGUAUUAGCUAGUUGGUGAGGUAACGGCUCACCAAGGCAACGAUACAUAGCCGACCUGAGAGGGUGAUCGGCCACACUGGGACUGAGACACGGCCCAGACUCCUACGGGAGGCAGCAGUAGGGAAUCUUCGGCAAUGGACGGAAGUCUGACCGAGCAACGCCGCGUGAGUGAAGAAGGUUUUCGGAUCGUAAAGCUCGGUUGUAAGAGAAGAACGAGUGUGAGAGUGGAAAGUUCACACUGUGACGGUAUCUUACCAGAAAGGGACGGCUAACUACGUG